CACCUGAGGCCGUCCUCCAGGCUUCUGGUGACUUCUUCUACUGUGACUUUUCCUACGUGACUGUUGGGGACCGACAGCACUAUCCAGAAACAUUCGAAAGUAUUUGCUUGGCCAAAGAGGAAUAAUUCCACUCUGAGAAAGAAUCACUCACCCAGGAAGUACCAGGCCAGUGUGGCUGCGACCGCUAUAAGGAAGACGAAAAGGAAGACGAGGGAGGCAAGCAAGCACUUGGAGCGUUUGGCAUCAUUCACAUACAGCAACAAGAGCGAGAGUCAGGUGCAUCGCAGUUGCGCUAAUGGCAUUGCCUGGCAACAGUAAGGUAACCAGUCAACACCCCCCUGGACAGGUAAGUCUGUUGGGAUCAAGGCAUGGUGAAGGUUGCUUCUGCAGUUCAUGUCAAGCCCAAAGCCAAACACACAGUGGUAUAUCUAGA